UUAACUACUGAACUUAUCUCUGGUAAGUGGUAAUAGCAUUAUUGCUUUUUCUUUUAUCUUUCUUUUCUAAUUAAAUGGGUUGGUGAAAUGCUUCUGUUGUUUUGAAGUACAUUAAUGAUCAGUAACUAUAUUGUUAUCUCUUCUUCUUGAUGCAUCAUGCUUCACACCAUUAAAUUCUCAUUUUCGAUUCACUUUUUGCCCUUUUUU
rnacentral:misc_RNA from 1 species